UUUCUCUCCUUUUAUUAGUGAGUCUGGCCAGAGGUUUGUCAAUUUUGUUUCCCCUUUCAAAGAACCACUUCUUGGUUUUAUUGAUUUUUUUUCCUGUUGUUUUUAGAAUUUCUGUAUUAUUGAUUUCCUCUCUGAUCUUUAUGAUUUCCUUCCUUCUGCUGACUUUAGGUUUUGUUUGUUCUUUUUCUAAUUCAUUUAGGUGGUGGGUUAAGUUGUCAAUCUGAGAUUUUUCUUCUUUUUUGAGGAAGGCUGCAUCUCUAUGAACUUCCCUCUAAGCACUGCUUUUGCAGCAUCCCAUAGAUUUUGAAUGGUUGUGUCUUCAUUAUCUUUAGUGUCAAGUAUUUUUUAAUCUCUUUUUUGGUUUCCUCAUUGACCCAUUGGUUUUUGAGUAGCAAGUUCUUUAGUCUCCAUGUAGUCAGUUUUUUCUCAUUUUUUUUUUCCUGUGGUUGAUUUCUAUUUUCUUGUCAUUGUAGUCAGAGAAGAUACUUGAAAUAAUUUCUAUACUCUUAAAUUUGUUGAGGUUGUCUUUGUGCCCCAGUAUGUCUCAGUCCUUGAGAAUGUUCCAUGUGCACUUGAAAAGAAUGUAUAUUCGAUUUUUUUGGAUGUAGUGUCCUGAAAAUGUCAAUGAAGUCUGACUUUUCUAUUGUUUCCUUUAGGAUCUCUGUUGCCUUAUAGAUUUUGUGUCUAGAGGAUCUGUUCAUCGAUGUGAGUGGGGUGUUAAAAGUCUCCUACUGUUAUUAUAUUCCCAUCCAUUUCUUCUUUUACGUCUGUUAGUAUUUGUUGUAGGUAUCUGGGUGCUCCUAUAUUAGGGGGUUAUAUAUUGAUGAUUGUAAUAUCCUCUUCUUGAAUAGAUCCUUUUGUCAUUAAAUAGUGUCCUUCUUUGUCUUUCUUUAUGGCCUUCAUUUUUAAGUCUAUUUUGUCUGACAUGAGUAUUGCAACUCCUGCUUUCCUGUCUUGUUCAUUGGCAUGAAAUGUCUUUUCCCAUCCUCUCACUUUCAAUUUAUAUGUGUUCUUUGCCCUAAGAUGAGUCUCUUAUAGACAGAAGAUUGUAGGUUUUUGCUUUUUUAUCCAAUCUGCCACUCUGUGUCUUUUGAUUGGAGCAUUCAGUCCAUUGAUAUUUAAGGUAUGUAUUGAUAAAUAUGCAUUUAUUGCCAUUUUAGACCUUGUUUUUCAGUUGAUUCUAUGUUCUGUUCUUUUUUGGUUGGAUGAUUUCCUUUUAUUUUAUGCUUGUAUACUUUUUAGUUUUUGUGAAUAUAAUGUUUGGUUUUGAUUUGUGGUUGCCCUGUUUUUCAAGUAUGUUAACCCCUUCCUAUAUCUGCUCACUUUAGCCUGACAGUCCUAUAGGCUCAAA
rnacentral:lncRNA from 1 species